GCCAAAAUUAUUAGAACACCUGACAGAAAUGAAAACAUUGAACUUUUUUUUGCCUCCAAAACAUGAUUUCCUUUCAAAAUGUUCAUGAUGCAUGCAGAUGGUUGCUCUGAGCACAACAAAUAUCAGAUUAAGUGAGUCCUACUGUUUUUAUCCACUUUUAACUUUAAUAUUUGGUAUGUCCACCUUUUGCAGCAAUUACAGCAGCACAUCUCUCUGGCAUAGUGUCAAUAUAUUUCUUGAGAACUUGAACACUAAUAUUAUCCCAUGCCUUCUGCAACUCAAGCCAAAGGCUUUCCUUUGAAUGUACAAUAGAUCUGUCCAGUUUAUUUUCCAACUCGCCCCAAAUUUGCUCAAUGGGGUUGAGGUCCGGACUUUGAGGGGGCCAGUCCAUCAUUUUCAAUGUUCCAGCAGAUUCCUUCUGUCGCAGGUAGUUCCGGCAAUACUUAGAAGAAUGUUUAGGGUCGUUGUCCUCUUGGAAAAUAAAUCCAGGCCCAAUAAGACGACUCCCAGAUGGUACUCCGUGCCUCACCAGAAUGUUGUGGUAUACUUUCUUAUCCAUGAUGCCAUCAAUUUUCACUAAGUCACCUGUUCCUGAGGCUGCAAUGGCACCCCACACCAUAAUACUACCCCCUCCGUGUUUAACUGUUGGCAAGAGACACUCAUUUUUAUAUCUCUCCCCCUCCCUCCGUCGAACAUACACUCUUCGCUUGUUGCCAAACUGUUCAAAUUUGGACUCAUCAGUCCACAACACUUUAUACCAAUCUCCCUUUGUCCAUUUCUUGUGUUCUUUAGCGAAUUUCAGGCGUUUCACUCUAUUUUUCUCUCUCAGUAAUGGUUUCUUUGCUGCUAUUCUGCCAACAAGUCCUUCUUCUCCCAGUUUCCGACGCACAGUUCUUGAAGACACUGUUGCACCAUUAGUCAUUGUGGUGUUGAUCUCGUCACGCAGUUCUCGUGAGGUCUUUCUUCGGUCCUUAAGACUGAGAAUUUUGAGAUGCUUCACUUGUCUGUCAGAAAGUUUCUUUUUUCUACCUCUCCCCUUUCGGUUCUGGUGUGAAUUGGUGGCAUCAUGGCGGUCUAAAGUGUACUUUACAGUGCUUGGACUGCAUCUCAAGUCCUUGGCUAUGCGGCGGUAACUCCAGCCAGCAUCAAAAAGGGCCUUUAUUCGAACCCGCUGCUCACUCGUUAAUUCCUUCUUCACCUUAGCCAUGUUCAAAGAGCAACAUGAGCUUCAAGACUACUUCUAGAGGCUUUGAAUUUAUACCAAUUGGUGGUGUGGCCUCAGUGACAAAACCCUCAUGUUACCAAUCACUUAAUGAGCAGGAUAGGCCUUGUACGUUCAAAAGAAUCACACAGCUGUGUCCUAAGACUUGCAUCACCAUCAAUUUAACCACGAUCACACCUGAGAAGGAUUACACAAGUAAUUUGGCUGCUUCUGUGAAGGAACAUGAUUGUGUGACACUGACAGGCCUUGCUUGUUUUUUGUAUGGAAAAUGACCUAAAUCUCCUUAUGAUGGCUCUAUUCUAGGGUUUAUAGAGCAAAAUGAUGACUUUGUAGAUAUUUAAUUUGUUUUAUGGGUAUUUUAAUGGCCAACUCAACAAAAACAACUGAAAAUUCUUAAAUAUGCCAAGUGUUCUAAUAAUUUUGGCCACCACUGUAUAU
rnacentral:lncRNA from 1 species